rnacentral:rRNA from 1 species
GACGAACGCUGGCGGCGUGCUUAACACAUGCAAGUCGUACGGUAAGGCCCUUUCGGGGGUACACGAGUGGCGAACGGGUGAGUAACACGUGAGUAACCUGCCCACAACUUUGGGAUAACGCUAGGAAACUGGUGCUAAUACUGGAUAUGUGCUCCUGCUGCAUGGUGGGGGUUGGAAAGCUCCGGCGGUUGUGGAUGGACUCGCGGCCUAUCAGCUUGUUGGUGGGGUAGUGGCCUACCAAGGCGGCGACGGGUAGCCGGCCUGAGAGGGUGACCGGCCACAUUGGGACUGAGAUACGGCCCAGACUCCUACGGGAGGCAGCAGUGGGGAAUAUUGCACAAUGGGCGCAAGCCUGAUGCAGCAACGCCGCGUGCGGGAGGACGGCCUUUGGGUUGUAAACCGCUUUCAGCAGGGACGAAGCUUUUUGUGACGGUACCUGCAGAAGAAGCACCGGCUAACUACGUG